GAACGCUAGCUACAGGCUUAACACAUGCAAGUCGAGGGGCAGCAUGGUCGAAGCUUGCUUCGACUGAUGGCGACCGGCGCACGGGUGCGUAACGCGUAUCGAACCUGCCCUAUACACGGGGAUAGCCUUGCGAAAGUAAGAUUAAUACCCGAUGCCAAGUUGAGAUCGCAUGAUUUUGAUUUGAAAGAAAUUCGGUAUAGGAUGGCGAUGCGUCUGAUUAGGUAGAUGGCGGGGUAACGGCCCACCAUGCCGACGAUCAGUAGGGGUUCUGAGAGGAAGGUCCCCCACAUUGGAACUGAGACACGGUCCAAACUCCUACGGGAGGCAGCAGUGAGGAAUAUUGGUCAAUGGUCGCGAGACUGAACCAGCCAAGUAGCGUGCAGGACGACGGCCCUCUGGGUUGUAAACUGCUUUUAGUUGGGAAUAAAAGGCGGUACGUGUACCGCGUAUUGUAUGUACCAUCAGAAAAAGGACCGGCUAAUUCCGUG
rnacentral:rRNA from 1 species